rnacentral:rRNA from 1 species
ACACCGGCAGCUCAAGUGGUAGCCGCUUUUAUUGGGCCUAAAGCGUCCGUAGCCGGUCUGAUAAGUCUCUGGUGAAAUCCCACAGCUUAACUGUGGGAAUUGCUGGAGAUACUAUCAUGACUCGAGGUCGGGAGAGGCUGGAGGUACUCCCAGGGUAGGGGUGAAAUCCUGGGAUCCUGGGAGGACCACCUGUGGCGAAGGCGUCCAGCUGGAACGAACCUGACGGUGAGGGACGAAAGCCAGGGGCGCGAACCGGAUUAGAUACCCGGGUAGUCCUGGCCGUAAACGAUGUGGACUUGGUGUUGGGAUGGCUUCGAGCUGCCCCAGUGCCGAAGGGAAGCUGUUAAGUCCACCGCCUGGGAAGUACGGCCGCAAGGCUGAAACUUAAAGGAAUUGGCGGGG